CCUACGGGAGGCAGCAGUGAGGAAUAUUGGUCAAUGGACGGAAGUCUGAACCAGCCAUGUCGCGUGCAGGAAGACGGCUCUACGAGUUGUAAACUGCUUUUGUACAAGGGUAAACCUGAAUACGUGUAUUCAGCUGAAAGUACUGUACGAAUAAGGAUCGGCUAACUCCGUGCCAGCAGCCGCGGUAAUACGGAGGAUCCAAGCGUUAUCCGGAUUUAUUGGGUUGAAAGGGUGCGUAGGCGGAUUGAUAAGUUAGAGGUGUAAUGUCCGCGCUUAACUCGGGAACUGCCUCUAAUACUGUUGAUCUAGAGAGUAGCUGCGUUAGGCGGAAUGUCUGGUGUCGCGGUGACAUGCUUAGCGUUCAUCCAGAACCCCGAUUGCGAAGGCAGCUUACCAAUCUAUAUCUGACGUUGAGGCACGAAAGCGUGGGGAGCAAACAGGAUUAGAUACCCGGGUAGUC
rnacentral:rRNA from 1 species